rnacentral:rRNA from 1 species
AGUGAACGCUGGCGGUAGGCCUAACACAUGCAAGUCGAACGGCAGCACAGUAAGAGCUUGCUCUUACGGGUGGCGAGUGGCGGACGGGUGAGGAAUACAUCGGAAUCUACUUUUUCGUGGGGGAUAACGUAGGGAAACUUACGCUAAUACCGCAUACGACCUACGGGUGAAAGCAGGGGAUCUUCGGACCUUGCGCGAUUGAAUGAGCCGAUGUCGGAUUAGCUAGUUGGCGGGGUAAAGGCCCACCAAGGCGACGAUCCGUAGCUGGUCUGAGAGGAUGAUCAGCCACACUGGAACUGAGACACGGUCCAGACUCCUACGGGAGGCAGCAGUGGGGAAUAUUGGACAAGGGGCGCAAGCCUGAUCAAGCCAUACCGCGUGGGUGAAGAAGGCCUUCGGGUUGUAAAGCCCUUUUGUUGGGAAAGAAAAGCAGCAGGUUAAGACCCCGCUGUUCUGACGGUACCCAAAGAAUAAGCACCGGCGAACUUCGG